rnacentral:misc_RNA from 1 species
GAAAUGCGAUAAGUAAUGUGAAUUGCAGAAUUCAGUGAAUCAUCGAAUCUUUGAACGCACCUUGCGCCCCUUGGUAUUCCGAGGGGCACACCUGUUUGAGUGUCGUGAAAUUCUCAACCCCUCUUCCUUUGCGGGAACGGUGGGGCUUGGACUUGGAGGCUUGCGGGCUCCCCUUUGUUGUGGGAUCCGCUCCUCUCAAAUGCAUUAGUGAAGCCCUGGCGGGCCUCGGUGUGAUAAUUGUCUACGCCUUGGACCGUCUCUGCGGCGAUCGCUUCUAACCGUCUCUCGAGACAACGAUAUAGAAACUUGACCUCAAAUCAGGUGGGACUACCCGCUGAACUUAA